UACGUAGGGUGCAAGCGUUGUCCGGAAUUAUUGGGCGUAAAGAGCUCGUAGGCGGUUUGUCGCGUCUGCUGUGAAAACUGGAGGCUCAACCUCCAGCCUGCAGUGGGUACGGGCAAACUAGAGUGCGGUAGGGGAGAUUGGAAUUCCUGGUGUAGCGGUGGAAUGCGCAGAUAUCAGGAGGAACACCGGUGGCGAAGGCGGGUCUCUGGGCCGAUACUGACGCUGAGGAGCGAAAGCAUGGGGUAGCGAACAGG
rnacentral:rRNA from 1 species